GCGUCAGUAGUGUAACGGAUAGAGCACACGCUCCCGGAUAGAGUGAGGCACGGGUUCUAAUCCGGCCUGACGCA